GACGAACGCUGGCGGCGUGCUUAACACAUGCAAGUCGAACGGAAAGACCCGGCGUUUGUGGGGUGCUCGAGUGGCGAACGGGUGAGUAACACGUGAGUAACCUGCCCUUGACUUAGGGGUAACUUUAGGAGACUGGGGCUAUUACCGGGUAGGAGCUCCUGCUGCAUGUGGGUGGUUGGAAAGUGUCGGCGGUUGGGGAUGGACUCGCGGCUUAUCAGCUUGUUGGUGGAGUAGUGGCGGACGAAGGCUUUGAGGGGUAGCCGGCCUGAGAGCGUUACCGGCGUCAAGGGGCCUACGAGACGGAGCAGAAUGCUACGGGCGGCAGCAGGGGGAAAUCUUGCGGAGUGGGCGGAAGUCUGAUGCAGAGACGCUCCGUGCGGGAUGCCCGGCUUCGAGUUGUGAACCAAUGUGGACUGUGACGAGCACUGAGUGACGGUAAUGGGUCAAGAAGCAACGGCUAACUACGUG
rnacentral:rRNA from 1 species